rnacentral:rRNA from 1 species
GACGAACGCUGGCGGCGUGCUUAACACAUGCAAGUCGAACGGAAAGGCCCUGCUUUUGUGGGGUGCUCGAGUGGCGAACGGGUGAGUAACACGUGAGUAACCUGCCCUUGACUUUGGGAUAACUUCAGGAAACUGGGGCUAAUACCGGAUAGGAGCUCCUGCUGCAUGGUGGGGGUUGGAAAGUUUCGGCGGUUGGGGAUGGACUCGCGGCUUAUCGGCUUGUUGGUGGGGUAGUGGCUUACCAAGGCUUUGACGGGUAGCCGGCCUGAGAGGGUGACCGGCCACAUUGGGACUGAGAUACGGCCCAGACUCCUACGGGAGGCAGCAGUGGGGAAUAUUGCACAAUGGGCGGAAGCCUGAUGCAGCAACGCCGCGUGCGGGAUGACGGCCUUCGGGUUGUAAACCGCUUUCGCCUGUGACGAAGCGUGAGUGAUGGUAAUGGGUAAAGAAGCACCGGCUAACUACGUG